UAUUCUGCCCCAUGGGGAAGGAUGAGAAGCUUCGACUAAGGUUCGACUCGAGCGCCAGCGAGAGAACGUUGCC
rnacentral:sRNA from 2 species